GAUGAACGCUAGCGAUAGGCUUAACACAUGCAAGUCGAGGGGCAGCACAAGGUAGCUUGCUAUCUGGGUGGCGACCGGCGCACGGGUGCGUAACGCGUAUGCAACUUGCCCUAUACAGGAGGAUAACCCGUCGAAAGACGGACUAAUACUGCGUAUGCUCACAACUUGGCAUCAAGUGGUGAGGAAAGAAAUUCGGUAUAGGAUAGGCAUGCGUCUCAUUAGCUUGUUGGUGAGGUAACGGCUCACCAAGGCAACGAUGGGUAGGGGAACUGAGAGGUUUAUCCCCCACACUGGUACUGAGACACGGACCAGACUCCUACGGGAGGCAGCAGUGAGGAAUAUUGGUCAAUGGGCGCGAGCCUGAACCAGCCAAGUCGCGUGAAGGAUGACUGUCUUAUGGAUUGUAAACUUCUUUUAUACGGGAAUAACAAGAGUCACGUGUGACUCCCUGCAUGUACCGUAUGAAUAAGCAUCGGCUAACUCCGUG
rnacentral:rRNA from 1 species